rnacentral:rRNA from 1 species
UACAGAGGGGGCAAGCGUUGUUCGGAAUUACUGGGCGUAAAGGGCGCGUAGGCGGCCUGCUAAGUCGAACGUGAAAUCCCUGGGCUCAACCCAGGAACUGCGUCCGAUACUGGUUGGCUUGAAUCCGGGAGAGGGAUGUGGAAUUCCAGGUGUAGCGGUGAAAUGCGUAGAUAUCAGGAGGAACACCUGUGGUGUAGACGGCUUUCUGGACCAGCACUGACGCUGAGACACGAAAGCGUGGGGAGCAAACAGG